rnacentral:lncRNA from 1 species
GGAUUUCUACCCGGCAAAACCCUACCUCUGGAAUGUUAGAAGGUUCUCCUCUCCACCUCCUACUAAGUUCCUGAGACCGACAGAGCCAGAGCCUGAGUGACACUACCUGGGGAAGCCUUGGUCUGGUUCAUCCAGUUCCGUGCCUUGGAGGUCCUGCUCUGCUCACAGCUAAAUAACACAUAUCUAAGCCGUGAAUCAGGCCUGAAACACUCGCCCACACAGCAGUGGUGAAACUGAACUUUCAACCGCCAUCCUCUGCAGGGGAGUGAGGUCAUACGAAAACAAAUUCAUUUCUGAAGACUCACUAUCUUCCUCAAACUCAUGGAGAUCUCCCAGGUGCUGGGUUCCAGACAAGUACCGAAUAUGUGAAGGUCAACAGCACUGGACCGGAGGCAUCUGGAGAGAUACUGUCCCCCAGGCACAGCGCUUCUGAGAGGUAGGAAGCCAUGUCUGAAUGCCAACUCUCAUUUUUUACAUGUUCGGGUUCUGUAGCAUGUGUCGGUCUUGAACUCCCAGUCUUCC